rnacentral:rRNA from 1 species
GACGAACGCUGGCGGCGUGCUUAACACAUGCAAGUCGAGCGGAAAGGCCUCCUUCGGGAGGUACUCGAGCGGCGAACGGGUGAGUAACACGUGGGCAACCUGCCCCAGAGACCGGGACAACAGUUCGAAAGGACUGCUAAUACCGGAUGAUGUGCGAUCCGCCAAGUGGGUCGCACCAAAAGGUAGCUUCGGCUUCCGCUCUGGGAUGGGCCCGCGCAGCAUUAGCUUGUUGGUGAGGUAACGGCUCACCAAGGCCACGAUGCUUAGCUGGUCUGAGAGGACGAUCAGCCACACUGGGACUGAGACACGGCCCAGACUCCUACGGGAGGCUG